AAAUGAACAAAAAAGCUAAUCUAGAAAGAGAAGGUGGAAAGUGAAUCUUCCUCCAAGCUAAGAGAGGUACGACUGAGUGUACAAAUCCUCUCUUGUGAGCAAAGAUUAAUCAAUGUUUGCCUUUGUGCGAUGAUAGUUUCUUCCAAUCGCCACACAGGUGUUAACAUAUCUUGAACGAUUUGGACCUCAAGCAUUGGAGCGGAUCUGAUCUGCUACAGGUAUUUCUCUACCACUUCGAGUAACUCACCUUCAACUUCACUUCUCUACUGUGACGGGUGUUUAUUUUCAUCCUCUAUGGUUCAGAAGGUCCAGUUAGCUGUCGGGGACAAGAUCCCAAAUCGGAGGGAAUAGAAUAUGUCAAUCUAAUGUUGAAGCGAGCCACCUCAGUUGAAGUACUGAUAUCAGGUAUACUAACACCAUUUAAAAUAAUUAUCCAAUUCAUUAUCUAUCCUUCAAUGGAAUGAAUCCCUCAAUAGGAAUUAAUACCACCAUAAAAAUCUAGAUAUUGAGCUGGACUACUAUUUCAAAUCUGUACUAUGCUUGGGAAAGACUUGUGAUACCAAGUGACAGCAAAAUAAUACAUUAUCAACAGAUAUCUUCACACCAACCAUUUAUACCACUAAUGCGCGCUUAUGCAGAAAAUAGAG
rnacentral:lncRNA from 1 species